CAGGGAGACAACAAAAUGUUUAAUAUUAUUAUUUUGUCACCUUAGGUCGAUCGGUAUCUCACGUUCUUAAUUUGUUAAGAAUUUCAUUUCCUAAGUUUUUCUAGGUCACACCCAUUAUUUUUCCUGGGCCAUUAGCUCAGGUGGUUAGAGCGCACCCCUGAUAAGGGUGAGGUCCCUGGUUCAAGUCCAGGAUGGCCCAUAUCUCUAUGUUGGGGGUAUAGCUCAGUUGGUAGAGCGCCUGCUUUGCAAGCAGGAUGUCAGCGGUUCGAGUCCGCUUACCUCCACUGAUUACCACCUCUUCCAUAACAGGUAGAAAGGAAAUGUUUUGAGUUGUGAUCAUUAUUCUGAACGAAUCUAGCUUCCUAAUGAAAUCAUUAAGAUGCUGGACUCAUUGAAUUAAUUUCAUUGUUUUCAGAGAACCUUGACAACUGCAUAGAUUAUUUUUAAAGACAAUAAGCAUCUUUAAUGAUGCAGAUUUAUUAUUUGUGCGAAUGCAUUAAUAACAAUUCUAUUAAGCUGAUGCUUCAAUUUUUGAAGUUAUU
rnacentral:tRNA from 1 species